rnacentral:rRNA from 1 species
CAGAGGGGGCUAGCGUUGUUCGGAAUUACUGGGCGUAAAGGGCGCGUAGGUGGCCUGUUAAGUCGAACGUGAAAUCCCCGGGCUCAACCCGGGAACUGCGUCCGAGACUGGCAGGCUCGAAUCCGGGAGAGGGAUGUGGAAUUCCCGGUGUAGCGGUGAAAUGCGUAGAUAUCUGGAGGAACACCGGUGGCGAAGGCGGCAUCCUGGACCGGUAUUGACGCUGAGGCGCGAAAGCCAGGGGAGCAAACGGGAUUAGAUACCCCGGUAGUCCUGGCCCUAAACGAUGAAUGCUUGGUGUGGCGGGUAUCGAUCCCUGCCGUGCCGAAGCUAACGCAUUAAGCAUUCCGCCUGGGGAGUACGGUCGCAAGGCUG